rnacentral:misc_RNA from 1 species
GAUGAAGAACGCAGUGAAAUGCGAUAAGUAAUGUGAAUUGCAGAAUUCAGUGAAUCAUCGAAUCUUUGAACGCACAUUGCGCCCGCCAGUAUUCUGGCGGGCAUGCCUGUCCGAGCGUCAUUUCAACCCUCGAACCCCUCCGGGGGGUCGGCGUUGGGGAUCGGCACUUACCUGCCGGCCCCGAAAUACAGUGGCGGUCUCGCUGCAGCCUCUCCUGCGCAGUAGUUUGCACACUCGCACCGGGAGCGCGGCGCGUCCACGGCCGUAAAACAACCCAAACUUCUGAAAUGUUGACCUCGGAUCAGGUAGGAAUACCCGCUGAACUUAAGCAUAUCAAUAAGCGGAGGA